AUUGAACGCUGGCGGCAUGCUUUACACAUGCAAGUCGAACGGCAGCGCGGGCUUCGGCCUGGCGGCGAGUGGCGAACGGGUGAGUAAUGCAUCGGAACGUGCCCAGUAGUUGGGGAUAGCCCGGCGAAAGCCGGAUUAAUACCGCAUACGACCUGAGGGUGAAAGCGGGGGACCGAAAGGCCUCGCGCUAUUGGAGCUGCCGAUGUCGGAUUAGCUAGUUGGUGGGGUAAAGGCUUACCAAGGCGACGAUCCGUAGCUGGUCUGAGAGGACGACCAGCCACACUGGGACUGAGACACGGCCCAGACUCCUACGGGAGGCAGCAGUGGGGAAUUUUGGACAAUGGGGGCAACCCUGAUCCAGCCAUGCCGCGUGCGGGAAGAAGGCCUUCGGGUUGUAAACCGCUUUUGUUCGGGAAGAAAUCCUCUGGGCUAAUACCCCGGGGGGAUGACGGUACCGGAAGAAUAAGCACCGGCUAACUACGUG
rnacentral:rRNA from 1 species